GCCAGUUUUCAAAGGAGCUGCUUGUUUGCACGCAGUUCCAUUUCUUUUUCGUCGCACGGCACAAUUCCAUGUAAAUCUUUCCCAAGCUUUACCUUUUUUUCUCCUUCCAACGACAGUAUUAUUCGUAUAAUUGCGACGAAACGGAAUGUGAAGUUGUUCAACGUUUAAUGUGACGUAUGUUGCAUGUAUUUGGCUGAAAUAAUUGCGAAUGGAAGGAGGAUUUUAGUUAACAGAAACGUGAAAUCUCUUCUUGUUACUGGUAUUUUCCAACGUUGAAAUCGAAUUAGGAGCUAAAAAUUGUUUCAACGAUAUUAUAUUUGUGAAAAUGAUCAAAGUCGAAAUUACGAUUGUGAAUUAUACCAGAUUUUAAUCGUUACGGUUGAGGAAUUCCGCACUAUGUUAAGUUUUUUAGUGUUGACUGUGUAGCUAUGAAACUGAAAGUUGAUUUGAAAAAUUAGAAACUAACGUACGAUUGAAAUAUUCCGCAAAUCUUGGACAUUAACGAAAUUGAAAUUAUAGCUGAGAAAUUAGAAACGGAUUAUAGUUUCGAUGAUCGAAGGAUCUUUUUAGACUAUUUACGUAUUCGACUUGGAAAACAAUUUCUUCUGAAAUAUGAAGACGAUGUUACAAUCUAUAUAAAAGAUGACUAAUCAUUCGUCUAACAAUUCAACGUUCAACGUCUAUCACACACCGCAUUGAAGGAUAUAACAAAAAUCUACACAGAACACUCAUAUAUGUCACAAUGAAUAUAAUAGACGAUACUAAUGCAAAACAAACGUUGAAUUGGAAUUAUCAUAUACGAACGAAUGAUCCAAAUUGGUCAUUAGACAUUCUGCUCUCUCGGAUUGCUAACUAUUCCGAUCGAUGCAACACGCUUUAUCCGAUAUCCAUUUCUACUUAGUGGAUGAGGUGUAAAAUUGGAUCGACGAUUGGAUCUACUUUAAAGACAGAAUUACAAAUAGAAUUCAUCGUUUGCCUGAUAGAUGGCUCAAAGUUAUAAAAAUCAAAAUAAAAAAUAUUUUGAUCGAACAAUUUGCUGUGUUUUUCUUAAAAUAAGCACCGAGUUUCACUGCAAAAUUUGGAUUAUUCCUUUUUUCAUUGCUUUCCUUAACAGAAUUACAAUGUCCCAGUUGCGCACACAUAUCGCACUCAAUACUUAACACAGUAUAACGAAACAUAGUAAAACGUAGAGUCGUCUAUCAUUUAUUUCCAUGGAUAAAAUGUCGUCUAGAUUUAAACAUUAGAUUCAGCUAGAACCAAACAUACGAUAAUCAUUUAUUAUUCACA